CCUCAUCAUUCUCUCUCCUCUCUCUCGGAUCUCUUUCUCCCACCAGACCUUUCUCCUUCACUCUUUCUCUCUCACCUUUGUCUUUGUGGAGACCGACCGCUACCUUCCCCUACACGCGCCGGCUAGGGAUCUUCAGAGGCCAUCGAAGCUUCGACCACGCGAGUCCAAGCCCUCACACGACACCAGAGGCGAACGACGACACCGGAGGCCAGCUCUUCUUCUCCUCUUCCCUGUGUGCGGCCAAGCCUUCUUUUUCCCUGCGUGAGACACUUGAUUUUUCUCAAGUUAGGUCAGAAUAGGAUGCUGCGCUUCUAGAAGAUGCUAGACAAGCUACCAAGUCAGGAGAAAAGAUGAACAGAGAACAAUAUGGAGCUCUCAGAAGGAAAAUUGGAUUCCAGUGUGGCGGACCUCGAGAGAGAAGCUUACCCUAUUUUGGACGAACUGGGUAGGAAUCUAUCACCCAAUACCAGUUGUGUUCUCUCAGGCAAAGGGAUCAUGUAUAUGGGAUCCUGAAGGCAAACGGUAUCUAGACUUUCUCUCUGCUUAUUCUGCAGUUAAUUAGGUAGAAAAUGUUAGGAAAUUGUGUUUUCAUGUAUAUAUUUGUUACUUGAUGACUGAAUUUGUUUCUAUCUGAGCCACUGCUGCAGCUUUCAGUUUUACAGAAACAUUUACUUUUUCCCUUUGGCUACUGAAGUAAUAUGAUAAUGAUUCCUCUUUAGUGUGGGAUUAAUGUCUCACCAGUUUGCCCUAGCAAACCUCUUUUUUUUUCUUUUUUUUUUUCUCUAUGGGAUACAAAAUUGUA